rnacentral:ncRNA from 1 species
AUCUGCAAAGGGCAAACUUAACGAAAGUUAAGGGCGCAAAGCCACGGGUCUAAGGAGAAAUGCUAUGACAGCCGGGUUGCCAGG